AUACGGAGGGUGCAAGCGUUAAUCGGAAUAACUGGGCGUAAAGCGCACGCAGGCGGUUGGAUAAGCGAGAUGUGAAACGCCCCGGGCUCAACCUGGGAACUGCAUUUCGAACUGUCCGACUAGAGUCUUGUAGAGGGGGGUAGAAUUCCAGGUGUAGCGGUGAAAUGCGUAGAGAUCUGGAGGAAUACCGGUGGCGAAGGCGGCCCCCUGGACAAAGACUGACGCUCAGGUGCGAAAGCGUGGGGAGC
rnacentral:rRNA from 1 species